rnacentral:misc_RNA from 1 species
AAGUCGUAACAAGGUUUCCGUAGGUGAACCUGCGGAAGGAUCAUUAUUGAAUUUAAAACCGAGUGGGGUUGUAGCUGGCCUUUUGGCAUGUGCACGCCUCAUUCGUGUCCAACCUUCACACCUCUGUGCACUUCUCAUGGGUCGGGUAACGUCUGAAAUAUUGGCGAAGCCCUGCCUGUGUGUUUAUCACAUACCACUGUUUGUAUAAGAAUGUCAACACUGUGCGUUAAUGCAUAUAAAUACAACUUUCAGCAACGGAUCUCUUGGCUCUC